rnacentral:rRNA from 1 species
AUUGAACGCUGGCGGAAUGCUUUACACAUGCAAGUCGAACUGCAGCACGGGGGCAGCCCUGGUGGCGAGUGGCGAACGGGUGAGUAAUACAUCGGAACGUGCCCGGUCGUGGGGGAUAACGUAGCGAAAGUUACGCUAAUACCGCAUACGAUCUGAGGAUGAAAGCGGGGGACCUUCGGGCCUCGCGCGAUCGGAGCGGCCGAUGUCAGAUUAGGUAGUUGGUGGGGUAAAGGCCUACCAAGCCGACGAUCUGUAGCUGGUCUGAGAGGACGACCAGCCACACUGGGACUGAGACACGGCCCAGACUCCUACGGGAGGCAGCAGUGGGGAAUUUUGGACAAUGGGCGCAAGCCUGAUCCAGCCAUUCCGCGUGCAGGACGAAGGCCUUCGGGUUGUAAACUGCUUUUGUACGGAACGAAAAGGCUCUGGCUAAUACCUGGGGCUCAUGACGGUACCGUAAGAAUAAGCACCGGCUAACUACGUG